UUGGUCAGACUAUAACCACCCUGACACCAGGCUAGAAGACCAGGUCUGUAUUGGUCAGACUAGAACCACCCUGACACCAGGUCUGUUUUAGUCAGACUAGAACCACCCUGACACCAGGCUAGAACACCAGGUCUGUAUUGGUCAGACUAGAACCACCCUGACACCAGGUCUGUUUUAGUCAGACUAGAACCACCCUGACACCAGGCUAGAAGACCAGGUCUGUAUUGGUCAGACUAGAACCACCCUGACACCAGGUCUGUUUUAGUCAGACUAGAACCACCCUGACACCAGGCUAGAAGACCAGGUCUGUUUUAGUCAGACUAGAACCACCCUGACACCAGGUCUGUAUUGGUCAGACUAGAACCACCCUGACACCAGGCUAGAAGACCAGGUCUGUUUUAGUCAGACUAGAACCACCCUGACACCAGGCUAGAAGACCAGGUCUGUUUUGGUCAGACUAGAACCACCCUGACACCAGGCUAGAAGACCAGGUCUGUUUUAGUCAGACUAGAACCACCCUGACACCAGGCUAGAAGACCAGGUCUGUUUUAGUCAGACUAGAACCACCCUGACACCAGGUCUGUUUUAGUCAGACUAGAACCACCCUGACACCAGGCUAGAAGACCAGGUCUGUUUUAAUCAGACUAGAACCACCCUGACACCAGGCUAGAAGACCAGGUCUGUAUUGGUCAGACUAGAACCACCCUGACACCAGGCUAGAAGACCAGGUCUGUUUUAGUCAGACUAGAACCACCCUGACACCAGGUCUGUUUUAGUCAGACUAGAACCACCCUGACACCAGGCUAGAAGACCAGGUCUGUUUUAGUCAGACUAGAACCACCCUGACACCAGGCUAGAAGACCAGGUCUGUUUUAGUCAGACUAGAACCACCCUGACACCAGGCUAGAAGACCAGGUCUGUUUUGGUCAGACUAGAACCACCCUGACACCAGGCUAGAAGACCAGGUCUGUAUUGGUCAGACUAGAACCACCCUGACACCAGGCUAGAAGACCAGGUCUGUUUUAGUCAGACUAGAACCACCCUUACACCAGGUCUGUUUUAGUCAGACUAGAACCACCCUGACACCAGGCUAGAAGACCAGGUCUGUAUUGGUCAGACUAGAACCACCCUUACACCAGGCUAGAAGACCAGGUCUGUUUUAGUCAGACUAGAACCACCCUGACACCAGGUCUGUUUUAGUCAGACUAGAACCACCCUGACACCAGGCUAGAAGACCAGGUCUGUUUUAGUCAGACUAGAACCACCCUUACACCAGGUCUGUUUUAGUCAGACUAGAACCACCCUGACACCAGGCUAGAAGACCAGGUCUGUUUUAGUCAGACUAGAACCACCCUGACACCAGGCUAGAAGACCAGGUCUGUUUUGGUCAGACUAGAACCACCCUGACACCAGACUAGAAGACCAGGUCUGUUUUAGUCAGACUAGAACCACCCUGACACCAGGCUAGAAGACCAGGUCUGUUUUGGUCAGACUAGAACCACCCUGACACCAGGCUAGAAGACCAGGUCUGUUUUAGUCUAGACUAGAACCACCCUGACACCAGGCUAGAAGACCAGGUCUGUUUUAGUCAGACUAGAACCACCCUGACACCAGGCUAGAAGACCAGGUCUGUUUUAGUCAGACUAGAACCACCCUGACACCAGGCUAGAAGACCAGGUCUGUUUUGGUCAGACUAGAACCACCCUGACACCAGGCUAGAAGACCAGGUCUGUUUUAGUCAGACUAGAACCACCCUUACACCAGGUCUGUUUUAGUCAGACUAGAACCACCCUUACACCAGGUCUGUUUUAGUCAGACUAGAACCACCCUGACACCAGGCUAGAAGACCAGGUCUGUUUUAGUCAGACUAGAACCACCCUGACACCAGGCUAGAAGACCAGGUCUGUAUUGGUCAGACUAGAACCACCCUGACACCAGGUCUGUUUUAGUCAGACUAGAACCACCCUGACACCAGGCUAGAAGACCAGGUCUGUAUUGGUCAGACUAGAACCACCCUGACACCAGGCUAGAAGACCAGGUCUGUUUUGGUCAGACUAUAACCACCCUGACACCAGGCUAGAAUACCAGGUCUGUUUUAGUCAGACUAGAACCACCCUGACACCAGGUCUGUAUUGGUCAGACAAGAACCACCCUGACACCAGGUCUGUAUUGGUCAGACUAGAACCACCCUUACACCAGGCUAGAAGACCAGGUCUGUUUUAGUCAGACUAGAACCACCCUGACACCAGGCUAGAAGACCAGGUCUGUUUUGGUCAGACUAGAACCACCCGGACACCAGGUCUGUUUUAGUCAGACUAGAACCACCCUUACACCAGGCUAGAAGACCUGGUCUGUUUUAGUCAGACUAGAACCACCCUGACACCAGGCUAGAAGACCAGGUCUGUAUUGGUCAGACUAGAACCACCCUGACACCAGGCUAGAAGACCAGGUCUGUUUUAGUCAGACUAGAACCACCCUGACACCAGGUCUGUUUUAGUCAGACUAGAACCACCCUGACACCAGGCUAGAAGACCAGGUCUGUUUUAGUCAGACUAGAACCACCCUGACACCAGGCUAGAAUAACAGUUCUGUUUUAGUCAGACUAGAACCACCCUGACACCAGGUCUGUUUUAGUCAGACUAGAACCACCCUUACACCAGGCUAGAAGACCAGGUCUGUUUUAGUCAGACUAGAACCACCCUUAUACCAGGUCUGUUUUAGUCAGACUAGAACCACCCUGACACCAGGCUAGAAGACCAGGUCUGUUUUGGUCAGACUAGAACCACCCUGACACCAGGCUAGAAGACCAGGUCUGUUUUAGUCAGACUAGAACCACCCUGACACCAGGUCUGUUUUAGUCAGACUAGAACCACCCUGACACCAGGCUAGAAGACCAGGUCUGUUUUAGUCAGACUAGAACCACCCUUACACCAGGUCUGUUUUAGUCAGACUAUAACCACCCUGACACCAGGCUAGAAGACCAGGUCUGUUUUGGUCAGACUAGAACCACCCUGACACCAGGCUAGAAGACCAGGUCUGUUCUGGUCAGACUAGAACCACCCUUACACCAGGUCUGUUUUAGUCAGACUAGAUCCACCCUGACACCAGGCUAGAAGACCAGGUCUGUUUUGGUCAGACUAGAACCACCCUGACACCAGGCUAGAAGACCAGGUCUGUUUUAGUCAGACUAGAACCACCCUGACACCAGGCUAGGAGACCAGAUCUGUUUUAGUCAGACUAGAACCACCCUGACACCAGGCUAGAAGACCAGGUCUGUUUUGGUCAGACUAGAACCACCCUGACACCAGGCUAGAAGACCAGGUCUGUUUUGGUCAGACUAGAACCACCCUGACACCAGGUCUGUAUUGGUCAGACUAGAACCACCCUGACACCAGGUCUGUUUUAGUCAGACUAGAACCACCCUUAUACCAGGCUAGAAGACCAGGUCUGUUUUAGUCAGACUAGAACCACCCUUACACCAGGUCUGUUUUAGUCAGACUAGAACCACCCUGACACCAGGUCUGUUUUAGUCAGACUAGAACCACCCUUAUACCAGGCUAGAAGACCAGGUCUGUUUUAGUCAGACUAGAACCACCCUUACACCAGGUCUGUUUUAGUCAGACUAGAACCACCCUGACACCAGGCUAGAAGACCAGGUCUGUAUUGGUCAGACUAGAACCACCCUGACACCAGGCUAGAAGACCAGGUCUGUUUUAGUCAGACUAGAACCACCCUGACACCAGGUCUGUUUUAGUCAGACUAGAACCACCCUGACACCAGGCUAGAAGACCAGGUCUGUUUUAGUCAGACUAGAACCACCCUUACACCAGGUCUGUUUUAGUCAGACUAGAACCACCCUGACACCAGGCUAGAAGACCAGGUCUGUUUUAGUCAGACUAGAACCACCCUGACACCAGGCUAGAAGACCAGGUCUGUUUUGGUCAGACUAGAACCACCCUGACACCAGGCUAGAAGACCAGGUCUGUUUUAGUCAGACUAGAACCACCCUGACACCAGGCUAGAAGACCAGGUCUGUUUUGGUCAGACUAGAACCACCCUGACAACAGGCUAGAAGACCAGGUCUGUUUUAGUCAGACUAGAACCACCCUGACACCAGGCUAGAA